rnacentral:rRNA from 1 species
GACGAACCGUGCGAACGUUAUUCGGAAUCAUUGGGCUUAAAGGGCGCGUAGGCGGCGGCGUAAGUUGGAAGUGAAAUCCCAUCGGCUCAACCGUGGAAUUGCUCCCAGUACUGCGUCGCUCGAGGGGGAUAGGGGUCUGCGGAACUACCGGUGGAGCGGUGAAAUGUGUUGAUAUCGGUGGGAACGCCAGUGGCGAAAGCGACAGACUAGACCCUUCCUGACGCUGAUGCGCGAAAGCUAGGGGAGCAAACGGG